rnacentral:rRNA from 1 species
GACGUAGGGCGCGAGCGUUGUCCGGAUUUAUUGGGCGUAAAGAGCUCGUAGGCGGCUUGGUCGCGUCGACUGUGAAAACCCGCGGCUCAACCGCGGGCCUGCAGCCGAUACGGGCAGGCUAGAGUUCGGUAGGGGAGACUGGAAUUCCUGGUGUAGCAGUGAAAUGCGUAGAUAUCAGGAGGAACACCGGUGGCGAAGGCGGCCAACUGGACGAAUACUGACGCUGAGACUCGAAAGCGUGGGGAGCAAACAGG